rnacentral:misc_RNA from 1 species
UCCGGUUUGUCACCGGCAGUCGCUCUAGAGUGCCCACCUUGCGUGCUGGCAACUAGAACUAAGGGUUGCGCUCGUUGCGGGACUUAACCCAACAUCUCACGACACGAGCUGACGACAACCAUGCACCACCUGUCUCCUCUGUCCCGAAGGAAAGGUCCAUCUCUGAACCGGUCAGAGGGAUGUCAAGACCUGGUAAGGUUCUUCGCGUUGCUUCGAAUUAAACCACAUACUCCACUGCUUGUGCGGGUCCCCGUCAAUUCCUUUGAGUUUCAGUCUUGCGACCGUACUCCCCAGGCGGAGUGCUUAAUGUGUUAACUUCGGCACCGAGGGGUGGACCCCCCCAACACCUAGCACUCAUCGUUUACGGCGUGGACUAC